CUAAGGUGAGGCCUAACGGCGUAGCCGAUGCACAGACGGUAGAGAUUCCGUCACCACCAAAAGAGUUAAACACAGGGACACAUAUGAAGUCUCGGAGCCGGGUGUUGGUUCCGGUAGCGAUCGAGGGAAGUUAGUACCGAAGUCCGGGAUGGAAGAUGGCGAGAAAAGCUGUGUGUAUUUCUGCGGUGCCCGUACCGCAAACCGACACAGGUAGGUAGGAAGAAGAUUCUAAGGCCAACGGGAGAAGGGUUGUUAAGGAACUCGGCAAAUUGACCCCGUAACUCCGGGAGAAGGGGUGCUGCAGCAAUGCAGCCGCAGGGAAUCGGCCCAAGCAACUGUUUUACCAAAAACACAGGUUUGUGCUAAAUCGAAAGAUGACGUAUACGAGCUGACGCCUGCCCGGUGCUGGAAGGUUAAGAGGAGAUGUGCAAGCAUUGAAUCGAAGCCCCAGUGAACGGCGGCCGUAACGAUAACGGUCCUAAGGUAGCGAAAUUCCUUGUCAGGUAAGUUCUGACCCGCAUGAAAGGCGUAAUGAUUUGGGCACUGUCUCAACAGCCCGCCCGGCGAAACUGUAGUACCGGUGAAGAUGCCGGUUACCCGCGACAAGACGGAAAGACCCCAUGGAGCUUUACUGUAGCCUAAUAUUGGGUUUCGAUGUUGCAUGCACAGGAUAGAUGGGACUCUGGGAAGCAGGUGCUUUGGCGCUUGUGGAGUGGCCGUUGGGAUACCAUCCUUGCGAUAUUGGAAUUCUAACCUGCGCCUUUGAAUCAAGGCGGGGGACAUUGUUAGGUGGGCAGUUUGACUGGGGCGGUCGCCUCCUAAAGAGUAACGGAGGCGUUCAAAGGUUCGCUCAGCUUGAACGGAAAUCAAGCAAAAGAGUGCAAACGCAGAAGCGAGCCUAACUGCGAGACUGACGGGUCGAGCGGUAACGAAAGUUGGAGUUAGUGAUCCGGUGGUAUGUGAGUGGAAAUGCCAUCGCUCAACGGAUAAAAGUUACCCUGGGGAUAACAGGCUGAUCUCCCCCAAGAGUCCACAUCGACGGGGAGGUUUGGCACCUCGAUGUCGGCUCAUCGCAUCCUGGGGCUGUAUUCGGUCCCAAGGGUUUGGCUGUUCGCCAAUUAAAGCGGUACGCGAGCUGGGUUCAGAACGUCGUGAGACAGUUCGGUCCCUAUCUGUCGUGGGCGCAGGAUAUUUGAUGGGAGCUGUUCCUAGUACGAGAGGACCGGAGCGGACGUACCUCUGGCGCACCAGUUGUUCUGCCAAGAGCAUAGCUGGGCAACUAUGUACGGAUCGGAUAAACGCUGAAAGCAUCUAAGCGUGAAGCCGACCCAAAGAUAAGAUAUCCCAUUGUUUCAAACAAGUAAGACCCCUUGAAGACUACAAGGUUGAUAGGCACGAUGUGUAAGUGGAGCGAUCCAUUCAGCAAGCGUGUACUAAUAGGUCGAGGGCUUGAUC
rnacentral:rRNA from 1 species